AUUCGUUCAAAAAGUUAUAUCGUAGCGAAGUCGGUCCGCGUGCGGUUGUGCCUAUUCAGUACAAAUGAGUAAUUCGUAUUUUUCCUUUUGCUUUGUCAUGUGACUCGAGCCUCGCGGUACUAGUUCGCGCACGUGUCGCGUUUAAUAUUUUACUUACAGUCGGAGGCGAACAAUACUGAACUGUGAAGACUGGAAGAAAGAAAACUAAAUGUCAGUCGUGUCGGGGGGAGGAAUCGACUUGACUUUAUUAAAUACUAGUCAGUCUUUUUCUCUCUCCUAUAUGGUUGGCAUGUAACCGUCGCUCGCUGCGCCCGCGCCGUCGCUCCGCUCCCAGCGUGGCCAUGUCCGCAGUGACGUCAGGGAUUACGCAAGCUGUUUUUGAUUCGGCUGCGAAAUCACUGAAUUUUCUGCUUGAGACAAGGCCGUUGUGAAGACUUAUUUGUCGACUUGAAUAUUUUUUACUGUAUAAUUGUAUUCUGUCCAGCCUCGGCGUGACGCGGCCACACUUUGUAUAACCUGCACGCCACUUGCGAUUGAUCAUUAUACUCUAUUGCGCUCAAAAUGUACUAUGCAAUGCGAUUUAAUAAUAAAUCUGAUUUAAAUUGAA